UACGAAGGGGGCUAGCGUUGUUCGGAAUUACUGGGCGUAAAGCGUAUGUAGGCGGAUCGUUAAGUCGGGGGUGAAAUCCCGAGGCUCAACCUCGGAACUGCCUUCGAUACUGGCGAUCUUCGAGUCCGGGAGAGGUGAGUGGAACUCCGAGUGUAGAGGUGAAAUUCGUAGAUAUUCGCAAGAACACCAGUGGCGAAGGCGGCUCACUGGCCCGAUACUGACGCUGAGGCACGAAAGCGUGGGGAGCAAACAGGG
rnacentral:rRNA from 1 species